UGACAUUUCCUUUCAUGGUUUGUCCUAUUUCUAUAAGUUAUACUACGGCUUAUGCCCUGACCACAAAUAUAUAUAUGUAUAUAUAUAUAUUGGGGUAGCCCCCAAAAUAUUGGGACAAAUAAAAAAGACAACUCUGUUCCGCAGAGUAGCUGUUGACAUUAUAGUUUCUCAGGCACUUUGUUGACUCUAGAGAACCUCGGGCCAAUCGCACAUCCCCGUGACGGCGACUUGCAUUUGGAUGUCAUCCAUAUCAACUUUCGAUGCCAGUUUCUGCGCCUACCAUGGUGACCACGGGUAACGGGGCAUCAGAGUUCUAUUCCGUACAGGGACCCUGACAAAUGGCUACCACAUGCAAGGAAGGCAGCAGGCGUGCAAAUGACCUCCUCCUGACGCGGGACUCUUUAGAGGCCCUGUAAUUGUAAUGAGUCCACUUGAAAUCCUUUAACUCUGAUCAAUUGGAGGGAAGUCUGUUGCAGAGCCACUGACCCGUGCAUGCUGCACCUGAAACUCCACU